AGAACACCUGUGCCUCCCUGCUCGGCCAGCGGCCACGGUGCCAGAGUCACCACCUUGCCGGCCACUCCUCCAGCUGCCAGGGGCAUCCCACAGACUCUGCAGAGGCUCGGGCAGUAUCCAGGCUUUGGGGGCCCAUGGAGGUCCCUGACGUGUGUGCCCUGUGGUCUUUUCGCAACCCUUGACACACAUAGGAACUGUUCUUGCCUAGGAGGCCUUCACAGGCAGCCACAUGGGCCCGGGAGCCCCAGCCAUACAAGGCACGAAAGGGAGGGGUCUUUUUAUUUUUAUUUUUUGAGAUGGAGUUUUGCUUUUGUCGCCCAGGCUGGAGUGCAGUGGCCCUAUCUCGGCUCACUGCAACCUCCGCCUCCCAGGUUCAAGCAAUUCUCCUGCCUCAGCCUCCCGAGUAGCUGGGAUUAUAGGCAUACGCAACCAAUCCCGGCUAAUAUUUUUUGUAUUUUUAGUAGAGAUGGGGUUUCUCCAUGUUGGUCAGGCUGGUCUCGAACUCCCAACCUCAGGUGAUAUGCCCGC
rnacentral:lncRNA from 10 species